rnacentral:lncRNA from 1 species
CCCUAUUUAUUUAUUUAUUUUUUUUGUUAUGGGUUUUGAUGGGCUGAAUUGAUUUUGGACUAUAACAAAGGCAGUAAUAUUUCGAGUGAUGGUGGUGACGGCUUCUUUUGCGCCGGUCACGUCCCAAGGCAUGCGCAAAGUUGAGAAAUUAAUUGCCCAUUUGGGCAGUGCUUCACUUUUCUUUUUGGUUGAACGGGUAGUGCUUCAUGUAAAAUGCAAAAAGUUUCGAAGCACACCCUAUUGGAAUAUUAAAUAUACUAAUAAUAUUAAUAAAGUAAGCAUGGCUGGUGGGCCUUUAGAAUUUCCACAUUAAGGCAUCACCAAAGUUAAAGUAGCACUAGGAUACCUAGUUAAUGAUAUCCUACCAUGUCAAGAUAAAGAAAUCCUAAGCCUAACUAAUCAACCAAUGAGAGAGAUGGCUAGCCAUGUCCUAAUUAAUCGAAUAAAAGACUUUUUGUGCUUGAAAGGUACGUGCACUUUGUAUCAUGUAUUAUUUUAUUCUUCUAAGCAUAGUUAGCUAAGAAUAAAUAUUUCACACAUGCCAUAUGUGGUAUUAAAUAAAGAUAUCGUGGGC